AACGAACGCUGGCGGCAGGCUUAACACAUGCAAGUCGAACGCCCCGCAAGGGGAGUGGCAGACGGGUGAGUAACGCGUGGGAACAUACCCUUUCCUGCGGAAUAGCUCUGGGAAACUGGAAUCAAUACCGCAUACGCCCUACGGGGGAAAGAUUUAUCGGGGAAGGAUUGGCCCGCGUUGGAUUAGCUAGUUGGUGGGGUAAAGGCCUACCAAGGCGACGAUCCAUAGCUGGUCUGAGAGGAUGAUCAGCCACAUUGGGACUGAGACACGGCCCAAACUCCUACGGGAGGCAGCAGUGGGGAAUAUUGGACAAUGGGCGCAAGCCUGAUCCAGCCAUGCCGCGUGAGUGAUGAAGGCCUUAGGGUUGUAAAGCUCUUUCACCGAUGAAGAUAAUGACGGUAGUCGGAGAAGAAGCCCCGGCUAACUUCGUGCCAGCAGCCGCCGCAGUAA
rnacentral:rRNA from 1 species